GUUAACUGUUUCCUUUUGCACCGGUCGACGGAGACAGAAAAGUGAAAAACAAAAUGCCGUCAAAUAUAAGGCCUCCACCGUCCUUAGUGGCCAAACUUUUUAACAUGAAUCGAUAUUCAAGGUUUCUUUACAAUCACUGGCGGAAAAGUUUGGGGAUAUUUGGAGUAACCGGAGCACUAGGAGUUGUGUGGCUUUUUGAUGUUCAGAUGGUGAACUACCUGCGAUAUGUCCCUGUCUUCAGAACUAAGUUCCAGCAUGUACAGUUUGAGGAACCAGAAGCAAAGCCCCAAAAAGCAGAAGAGGAAUAAUAUUAGUUCAUGUUAGUUCAUUAAAUUUAUUUGCUUUUGACAUUAUACAGAGAUCGGUCUUCUCCUUACCGUAUUGAACACAAUGUGAUGUGAUGAAAAUGUGUAAAUAAAACUUUAAUAUGUACUGUU